UAAUACGGAGGGAGCGAGCGUUGUUCGGAAUUACUGGGCGUAAAGCGUAUGUAGGCGGCUUCGUAAGACAGGUGUGAAAUCCCAGAGCUUAACUUUGGAACUGCAUUUGUGACUGCAAGGCUUGAGUAUCGGAGAGGUUGGCGGAAUUCCCAGUGUAGCAGUGAAAUGCGCAGAUAUUGGGAGGAACACCGAUGGCGUAAGCAGCCAACUGGACGAUUACUGACGCUGAGAUACGAAAGUAUGGGGAGCAAACAGGAUUAGAUACCCUGGUAGUCCAUACCAUAAACGAUGUGUGCUAGCUGUUGGGACUCUUAGAGUUUCGAUGGCGCAGCUAACGCUUUAAGCACACCGCCUGGGGAGUACGGUCGCAAGAUUA
rnacentral:rRNA from 1 species